rnacentral:rRNA from 1 species
UACAGAGGUCUCAAGCGUUGUUCGGAUUCAUUGGGCGUAAAGGGUGCGUAGGCGGCGCGGUAAGUCGGGUGUGAAAUCUCGGAGCUUAACUCCGAAACUGCAUUCGAUACUGCCGUGCUUGAGGACUGGAGAGGAGACUGGAAUUUACGGUGUAGCGGUGAAAUGCGUAGAUAUCGUAAGGAAGACCAGUGGCGAAGGCGGGUCUCUGGACAGUUCCUGACGCUGAGGCACGAAGGUCAGGGGAGCGAAA